rnacentral:tRNA from 1 species
CAAGAAGUAGUUUAAUUAGAAUAUCAGCUUUGGGUGUUGAUGGUGAAGGGGUAGUCCUUCCUUCUUGA